rnacentral:ncRNA from 1 species
AAACUCAGGAGAGUCUCUGAAAAAGAGCGCCGAAGGUGUACGCAAAAAUAAGAAAAUAUAUAUUUAUACAUUUUCUUAUUUUUGUAAAUCUCUCAGGCAAAAGGAUGGAGGAAUG